rnacentral:rRNA from 1 species
UACGUAGGGGGCAAGCGUUGUCCGGAAUCAUUGGGCGUAAAGAGCGUGUAGGCGGCCCGGUAAGUCCGCUGUGAAAGUCCAGGCUCAACCCUGGGAUGCCGGUGGAUACUGUCGGGCUCGAGUCCGGAAGAGGAGUGUGGAAUUCCUGGUGUAGCGGUGAAAUGCGCAGAUAUCAGGAGGAACACCAAUGGCGAAGGCAGCAACUCUGGGACGUGACUGAGCUGAGACGCGAAAGUGUGGGGAGCGAACAGG